ACCCGCUGAAUUUAAGCAUAUAACUAAGCGGAGGAAAAGAAACUAACCAGGAUUCCCCCAGUAACGGCGAGUGAAGCGGGAAGAGCUCACGUUGUAAAUCUGACUUCGGUCCGAAUUGUAGUCUGGAGAGGCGUGACCAGCUGGAGACGGGGGCGAAGUCUCUUGGAAAAGAGCAUCAAGGAGGGUGACAAUCCCGUUCCUGCCUCCGCUUUCCACGCGUACGGUCCGUUUUCUACGAGUCGAGUUGCUUGGGAUUGCAGCUCAAAGCGGGUGGUAAAUUCCAUCUAAAGCUAAACACGGGUGGGAGACCGAUAGCGAACAAGUACCGUGAGGGAAAGAUGCAAAGAACUUUGAAAAGAGAGUUAAAGAGUGCCUGAAAUUGCUGAAAGGGAAGCGAAGGAAACCAGUGUCUGGCGGUUCCGCUUCUCCUUGGUCCCUCGGGGCCUUGGUUUGCGUUUCCGCCGUGGCCAGGGCCGGGUAUCGUUGCGGGAGGCUGCGCCUCGGAAGGUAGCGCUUCGACUCGUCGAGCGUGAAGACCGUGGCGUUUCGUCGCGACGGUGGCCGGUUCUGACGAAAUGGUUUUCUUUACCCCGUCUUGAAACACGGAA
rnacentral:rRNA from 1 species